AACGAACGCUGGCGGCAGGCUUAACACAUGCAAGUCGAACGCCCCGCAAGGGGAGUGGCGCACGGGUGAGUAACGCGUGGAUAUCUGCCUUUUGGUUCGGAAUAACCCCGGGAAACUGGGGCUAAUACCGGAUGGUUCCUACGGGAUAAAGAUUUAUCGCCAAAAGAUGAGUCCGCGUACGAUUAGCUAGUUGGUGAGGUAAUGGCUCACCAAGGCGACGAUCGUUAGCUGGUCUGAGAGGACGAUCAGCCACACUGGGACUGAGACACGGCCCAGACUCCUACGGGAGGCAGCAGUGGGGAAUAUUGGACAAUGGGGGCAACCCUGAUCCAGCCAUGCCGCGUGAGUGAUGAAGGCCUUCGGGUUGUAAAGCUCUGUCCUUGGGGAAGAAAAAAAUGACGGUACCCUUGGAAGAAGCCCCGGCUAACUACGUGCCAGCCGCCGCCGUAAAAC
rnacentral:rRNA from 1 species